rnacentral:tRNA from 1 species
GGGGAUUUAGCUCAGUGGUAGAGCGCUUGCCUAGGAAGCGCAAGGCCCUGGGUUUGACCCCCAGCUCCG